CCAGCCCAUGCAUCACCACAGGCUUUGGAUGUCCUGAUGAUAGACGGCUCUAGCCUUCACGGGCAAUGUUCCUGCACAUGGCUGACUCCUCAUCUUCAACUGGAGAAGGGAAUCCCCUCCUCCGAGAAGGUGAAGCCUACCAAGCUCUUCCUCUGCAGGACAAGUUCGGAGUAGCUCAUGCCUUUGAAGCCUGUGGUCUUUAGAGUGGCUUUAGUGUAAAAACUCAAAAUAGGCUGACGACUGAGCCUGGAGGGAAGGUCGUCAGCAAAGGUGACACUAAGCUGCAGCCAUUCGGUCUGUCCUCCAGCUUGCUAAAUACGAUUCUAAAGCAGUGUCCUAAAGGAACAACGUCCCUUGACCUCACUUCAAGAAGGUCAAGAAGACAACACCAGGAUGUGACAUUUGAGUGACAAGACCUUGCUUUCAGGCUCCUGGCUCCUGGAAUGAACACAAGCAAGAGAGAAAAGGAGGGGGAACCGGAGUUGAGGGACAGUGGGCUGCAUCUGAGGGUGGGGGCUGAUGGAGGUAGGUAGCUAGGACCGACCCCUCCUUUGAUUCAGCAAACACCAAGGCUCCCCAGGAUGCUGGGUUUUGCUACAGAGAGAGUCAGAGGCACACCAAAGAGAUGGAGGGUCAGCUGUAUCUCUGGCCUGCGAAACUACCAGCCGUGUUCUGGGAGGGAAGGUGGAGGGGGUCUGGAGAGAGGGUAUGCCAUCAUGAAGAGCCUGCUAAGGUCUGUAGCACAGGAAGCCGCUGUGGCACCAACAGGAUGCCUCCGUGUGCACCAGGGCAGGUAGAGGCCCACAGCCUCUGUAUAUCACCCAUUCUGGCCUCAAACUUUGUGCCACCAUGUCUGGCACUGUUUUUGCCUGAGGAAGGGUUCAUCAGCAUCCAACCACGUGACUUUAAUACAGUGCCUAUGGGGGUCUGGAGAGUGGAAAGGGUCCUCUCUCCCUUUUGACUGAAUGAUGAAUAAGCCACACUUUCUUGUGUUUGAGAUGGCUUUAGAGUGUAGAAAAAUAUCCACAUGGACCGCUUGGUUGGUAUUGAGUACUGAUAGCUACUAAGGUUGGCAAUUAGAAAAGAAAAAAAAUAGCUUGGGUCAGGAAACCAGAGACGCAUCCAGUCUCUUAAGACACGAGGACUUCUUUGCUCUAAAUACCUCCCAAGGUUCCACAAAAGACCAUGCUUGGCUUUUUCUUUUGACUUAACUCAUCCUGUUUCUGUUUACAGAGCACCAAUGUGAGUGGAAUUCAUCAGCCAAAAAUACAAGUAAGGAAAAAAAAACCCACCUCUUCUAAAAACUUUUAAUGUGCAUGCAGCUUGCUGUUACUAGAUAAGGACUCGUCUUUUUCUGUGCUGGGAACCCUAAGUAGUCACAUAGGCCCAUUAUGUCUUAAAUGCUGCCUGUGGCCCUGGAACAAUGAGCCUGAGGCCCGGGAGCUGAAGCAGUAGGCAGCCUGCCAAGUUCAACACCGGCCAGUCUGAAGAGCAGGGCCUGCUGGGAGCUGCUUCCGGCUCUGCAUAAGAUGCAGAGCAAAGAUUUUCCAUGCUGGCUUUCCGCAUGCACGUUCCACACUGAAAGCCCAGACCAGUGAUGACCUGUAUUGACAUUUUCCGUGAUAGUCUUUGUUUUGUUUUCUGCUUGAUAGUGUAACUUCGGGGGUUUCUUUUUUUGUAACAAUCACUUGGCAAGGAUUACUCUUAGAUGUCACAGGGGAGUCACCGAACACAGCUGGAUUCUUCCCUGGGCAGACAUCUCUUUUUAAAAUGGAGCUUCAUGGGAAUUUACUGGAUGAUUUGUGGAGGAACCCUUUGUUUCACAGCUGUUGGUCAAGACUGUGCCUUGCUUGUGGAAAUAAAAGAAGCUGCAGUGGAGCCUUAUGGUAAUGUACAUAAGGAAUUAAAAAUUGAAUUUAAAAACAGGAAAUGCAGGGUGCUGGAGAGAUGGCUCAGUGGUUAAGAGCAUUGUCAUUGCUCUGAGCUCCUCCCUGAUCCAGUCACCUAUUAGUGCCAGCUCCAAGAGCCCUGACACCUUAUUCUUCACUCUGGAUGCUUGUCCUCACCUAAACACAGACACACAUUUAAAAAAAAAUCUUUUAAAAUGGGCUAUGUACUGCUUUAUCUCCAUCAGAGCAACAUUCUUCUGAAGUGCUCUAUUUUUCGCCUACAUUUGCCUUCCCUGGAGACUCAGCGCAUGCACUUACAGCAACCAGGCUCAACCUCCAAGAGAAACAUCGAUGCUGGUAGUCUCCUUUGGUGCGCUUGGUGGCAAACGACCCGUGCUGAGCAUCCAGGAGUUUUGUAUCCAGUACUGAACUCACAUGGCUAGGCUUUCAUGUCAGAGGAAAUACAGCUGCAUGCAUUUACUGUGUGGCAGUCUCCAAUACGAUGCCUUCUGGGGGAGUUUUAAGAUCAGUUUAGACUUUGCCUAAUUUUUUUAAGCACACAUAACAUGGAUUCCACUUGGUGUGUGGCAAUGUUCCAUGCCUGUCUAUAAUGCUACUAACAAAAAUUAACUGCCAUUGGGACAUGAUUGGUGUACUUCCAAAAAGUGCUUUGCUAUGAAGACUCAAUGAGUUUUCUGGAAGAAACAAUCGCUGACAUUUGCCAGGAAGCAAAGGCUCCUCUGUCCCUUGAGCUUGGGUAAGUUUACCAUUGCUCCACCUCAAACGUGACUGACACUCAUGCUUAUACAGCUUAAAGGUAUUUUAUUGACUGUUUUCUAUUUAGUCCUCCAUCAUCUAAAUUACUGCACAGGUGCACUGGCAGAUGUUUCCAUAAGACUAUUGAAAGAACUCACAUGCUCUUUGGUAGAUGAAUCUUAACUGUGAUAUCCCCAUACAAGGGAAUAUUACACAGCUAUAAAGAGAAAUUAUAUGCCACUGUAGAAGACUGCUAGAAUAUGUUGCUAAUAUUUUAGGACAGGAUUAUAAAAAUUCAAAAUGAAACAAGAACUAAUCUAAUAUUGUAUUAGGUUAAUGACAAAUCCACUCAGGGAAGAAAUUUUUUCAAGUGACCUUAGAAUAUGAGGAUUGACAUGUGUGGUGCGUAGAUGCCUGUAGUCCCAGAAUUUGGGAGAUGGAAACAGGAAGAUCAGAAGUUCAAGGUCUAGCCUGGACCACUUGAGACCCUUACUCGAAAAUAACAACCAAACAACAGCAUAAAUAAGUAAAACAGAAAUAAAUAAAUAAAUAAAUAAAUAAGGAAAAUGAGAAUUGACAAAAGGGUCUAUAUGUGGAUUAUACUCUUAAGACAAAAGAGAUAAAAAAAAGACACCUACAAAUGAUAAUAAAAACAGCACGAAGUUUCAACUUUUUCCAGUAA